GAAUUGCAGGAAUGAAAUAAAAAUGAGGAAAAAAUAAAUAAAAGUACUACGUGUAUUAUUGUGGUGCUUUUUGU
rnacentral:ribozyme from 13 species